UGGGGAAUUUUGGACAAUGGGGGGCAACCCUGAUCCAGCCAUGCCGCGUGAGUGAAGAAGGCCUUCGGGUUGUAAAGCUCUUUCGGCCGGGAAGAAAUCGCUCAAGCUAAUACCUUGGGUGGAUGACGGUACCGGAAGAAGAAGCACCGGCUAACUACGUGCCAGCAGCCGCGGUAAUACGUAGGGUGCGAGCGUUAAUCGGAAUUACUGGGCGUAAAGCGUGCGCAGGCGGUUUCGUAAGACAGAUGUGAAAUCCCCGGGCUUAACCUGGGAACUGCGUUUGUGACUGCGAGACUUGAGUGCGGCAGAGGGGGGUGGAAUUCCACGUGUAGCAGUGAAAUGCGUAGAGAUGUGGAGGAACACCGAUGGCGAAGGCAGCCCCCUGGGUCGACACUGACGCUC
rnacentral:rRNA from 1 species